AUGUCAGCGUCCUUCCUGCUCAGAGAACAGAAGUGUCAGCAUGUUACUGAGCAGCACAUCACAGGUCACCCCAGAGCAAAGGAGGAACAUUCACUCAAAGCAACACAUGAAAAUGUGAUGUUACAUGUUAAAAGGAUGAGGGCUUUCAUGUUUCAGGAUGGGCUUAGUUCACAGACUCCUGCUUCAGAAAAUGUCCUGCUGUCCAUCACAAUUCUCAAGCAUCACCAGCAGAGGACACCGAUGAGCCCGUUAAACUCAGAAAUGUGGAAGCGUCAGCUGGAUGUUAACAUUUGUCCUUUCCCCGCUAACGCACUUAAACUGCCUUAUUCUUAUUGGGUAACAGGGAAGCGAGGUCGUAGGAACAGUGUGGGCUCACUGGACAGUACCAUUGAAGGUUCUAUCAUAAGUAGCCCUCGGUCCCACCCACAGCGCCCCUUGCCGGCUGUAGGUCCAUGUUACAGCCCCAUGAUGAUCCCGUCGUCUCCAACAGCCUACCGGCCACACCGCCCUACUCAGAGCCCCGGUACAGGGGUGGGGGGUGGGCCGGGGCUCUGUCACAACCAGGGAGGCGUCCAUACCUCCCCUCUCGUGAGCGGGGUAGGGGUUGGGGGCGGAGGAGGGAUGCCCAGCGGGGGUGGUCAAGCAGGAGGAGGCCGGAUGGUGAGCUUUCUUGGCAGCCGCAGAGGGAAGGCUCCUGGUCCCCUGACGAUGACCUCUCCUCCUCAGGGUCCUCCGAGUCCCCUGCUGAUAUCGUCACCCCCCCACUACCCCGCCCCCGCGCCUCCAAUCCUCCUCCCAUCCUCCCCUUCCCCAUGCCCCUCCCCAUCACCCAACCCCGGUCAGUCAGACUCAGUAGGAGUUGGAGGGGUAGGAGUUUCAGGCGGGGGACCGUCCAAGCUCCAGGCUUUGCACGCCCAGUACUGCCACAGCAACAGUGGAGGAGGUGGAGUAACUGGCCACCAAGCGCAGCAGACGCCACCUCCCCCCUACAACCACCAUCACCGCUACCACAUGCAGAGCAUGCCGCAACACCACGCCCUCUCGCACAGGUUCUCGGCCCCCCGCUGGCAAGGCCCGCCCAGCUGCGCUCCCGCUCCUGCCCAGCCACAUCAGAGGUUGCCACACGGCACCGUCCACCACCCGCGCUACAACAUGGCCUCAGGCUUCACCACGCCCCCACCACUGUCCCCUCACUCCCCCGUCACCCCUACUACCCCACAUGGACUCUAUCACUCACACCCUGCGGCCGGGCGACCGGGAGGGGGCGCCAAGCUCCCCCUGACAAUCUCACACUCCCAACCCCACCCCCCCGCUCACACACACACCCCCCAUCACCCCCUCCACCCCCCCGCCUCAGACCCCCUCAGCCCGCCUCGUCACCCAGACGUCUCCACUACCCUAUAUACCCCAAUAUCCGCCACUAUCGUCCAUCCCUCCUCCCCCGCCGCACUCCCCAUUACCUCCUCCAUCAGGCACCCCACUGUCACCACACCCCCCAGGGGCAAGUCAAGGGGGAGCUCCCAAAUCCAAGCCUGUCAGCCGGAUCAGCACGGUCGUGUGAGGAGGCAGAAGUCCAGGACCGUGGUGCGCCGUCCCACCCUUUUCCACCAGGCAGCAGUUCUGAGGGGAAGGAGGAGACGAGGGGGAGGAGGGCAAAUGCAGGUGCAUCAAAGUGGGCGCCUGGUGAGGAGGAGAGGUGUGAGAGCCGGGAAGAGGAGACUGCUCAGCCUGUGUUACUUUCACAUCAACUUUCCCAGCAUGUAA
rnacentral:lncRNA from 1 species